GCAAACUUGGUCAUUUAGAGGAAGUAAAAGUCGUAACAAGGUUUCCGUAGGUGAACCUGCGGAAGGAUCAUUAUCGUAUCUACCCUUGGGGGGUUGGGUUCCCGCUCCUGCUCCGGCCGUGCAGCGGGUUCCCGGUCCCUUGAAAAACCACAAACCCACUGUGCACCUUUUCGUGGCGGAGGAUGCGGCGCGAGCCCGUCCAAAGCUGCGGCUUCACAAACAUGUGUAACAAAGAAUGUCGGUGCGGACACUGUUCCGCCCAUUAACGUGACAACUUUCAACAACGGAUCUCUUGGCUCUCGCAUCGAUGAAGAACGCAGC
rnacentral:misc_RNA from 1 species